rnacentral:rRNA from 1 species
UGAGGAAUAUUGGUCAAUGGGCGAAAGCCUGAACCAGCCAAGUCGCGUGAGGGAAGACGGUCCUAUGGAUUGUAAACCUCUUUUGUCGGGGAGCAAGGAUCCGCACGAGUGCGGAGGCGAGAGUACCCGAAGAAAAAGCAUCGGCUAACUCCGUGCCAGCAGCCGCGGUAAUACGGAGGAUGCGAGCGUUAUCCGGAUUUAUUGGGUUUAAAGGGUGCGCAGGCGGAGGAUCAAGUCAGCGGUAAAAUAGCGGGGCUCAACCCCGUCGAGCCGUUGAAACUGGUUUUCCUAGAGUGAGCGAGAAGUAUGCGGAAUGCGUGGUGUAGCGGUGAAAUGCAUAGAUAUCACGCAGAACUCCGAUUGCGAAGGCAGCAUACCGGCGCUCAACUGACGCUCAGGCACGAAAAGCGUGGGUAUCGAACAGGAUUAGAUACC